rnacentral:rRNA from 1 species
GACGAACGCUGGCGGCGUGCCUAAUACAUGCAAGUCGAACGCUGAAGGAGGAGCUUGCUUCUCUGGAUGAGUUGCGAACGGGUGAGUAACGCGUAGGUAACCUGCCUGGUAGCGGGGGAUAACUAUUGGAAACGAUAGCUAAUACCGCAUAAUAGUAGAUGUUGCAUGACAUUUGCUUAAAAGGUGCAAUUGCAUCACUACCAGAUGGACCUGCGUUGUAUUAGCUAGUUGGUGGGGUAACGGCUCACCAAGGCGACGAUACAUAGCCGACCUGAGAAGGUGGUCGGCCACACUGGGACUGGGACACGGGCCAGACUCCUACGGGAGGCAGCAGUAGGGAAACUUCGGCAAUGGACGGAAGUCUGACCGAGCAACGCCGCGUGAGUGAAGAAGGUUUUCGGAUCGUAAAGCUCUGUUGUAAGGGAAGAACGAGUGUGAGAGUGGAAAGUUCACACUGUGACGGUAUCUUACCAGAAAGGGACGGCUAACUACGUG